rnacentral:tRNA from 2 species
CGGAUAGAAGCCCGCUGGAUUGGGUGUUUAGCUGUUAACUAAGUUUUCGUGGGAUCGAAGCCCGCCUAUCUAG